GCUUGUCUCAAAGAUUAAGCCAUGCAUGUCUAAGUAUAAACAACUUUAUACUGUGAAACUGCGAACGGCUCAUUAUAUCAGCAAUAAUUUAUUUGAUGGUUCCUUACUACAUGGAUAACUGUAGUAAUUCUAGAGCUAAUACAUGCGCAAAGUCCUGACUCGCAAGGGGAGGGAUGUAUUUAUUAGAUAAAAAACCAAUGCGGGCUCUGCCCGGUUUUGUGGUGAAUCAUAGUAACUUAUCGAAUGGCAUAGCUUCACGCUGGCCAUAGGUCAUUCAAAUUUCUGCCCUAUCAGCUUUCGACGGUAGUGUAGUGGACUACCGUGGCGUUAACGGGUAACGGAGAAUUAGGGUUCGAUUCCGGAGAGGGAGCCUGAGAAACGGCUACCACAUCCAAGGAAGGCAGCAGG
rnacentral:rRNA from 1 species